rnacentral:lncRNA from 1 species
CCUACCUCAAUAAAAACUAACAAAAAAAAAACAAAAAAAACCCAAAAAACUGGGAUAUAACUCAGUGGCUUAAUUCCCCUGGGCUCACCCACAGUAUUAGGAAAAAAUAAAAAAGGGAUUCUCACAAAUCAUGUAAUUAACAGAAGAAAUAAUAAAUCUUAAAAAUAUAUAUUUUGAUUUUUAAUUGACAGAGCUAAUUGUACAUACUUAUGAGACACAGGUGAUAUUUCAAGAUGUGUAUAAAAUGUGUAACAAUGUGUCAGGAUCAUAUCAAUUUAAUUGGCAUAUAUCCUCAGGUAUUUAUCUGUCUCGGUGCUUGCAACAUUCAAAAUACUCUAUUAGUUAUUGGUAAUAUUUAACUGCUGUCAAACAUAGUUAUUUACUAUGCUAUAGAACAUUAGAAGUUACUCCUCUCAUCCAACUGCACCCCUGUACUUCUCCUCAACCCUUCUUCUUCUACUCCCUUCCCAGGCUCUGAUUACCACAGUUCUAUUCUCCAAAGAAGUAAACAACUUAUCUUUGCCACCCAAUAUUGGAAUGAGGCUGUUGUUAUUGAAAACUUAACUGCUAUAUAUUUUGAGGUACUCACAUAUUACAGCAACUUAAGUUUCCACAUUUUCAUUAAAUACUUCAAGGGUAAAUGGAAUGGCUAAAGAAGACUUUUCCCCACCCAAAGCCUUGCCUAGUUUUCAUUAACAAAUAAGAACUACUCAAAUACCAUUAUCAGAUAUUCUUACCAAUACUAUACAUUGCUUAUUUAAAAGUCUUUUCAUGCCUAUAAUUAUCAUUAUGUUCACAUACAUUGUGUUCAAAGUGUAUAGUUUUUUUCUAGCUCUGUAGACAAAUAUGCCAAGCAGCAUUUAGAAUUGAACAAUGAAAACUUCUUAAAUGUACAAAACACAGUAAAAUGUGAACAAAUACCAAGAAUAUUUUAGCUUUCGAUAAGAUGAUUUUGAAUUGAGAGAAAAAGGCCAAUAGAACUAAGUUCUAUAUUACUUUCUGAAAUCAAGACAUCUCUGUGGUCUAAAUGCAUCUUACUAGGCAAAUCAGAGUUAAUGUUGGCAUCCCAAAGAGGCACAGAAUGAAAUGCAAAAAAAAAAAAAAAAAUUGAUCUAGUCCAUUAACUGUAUAAAUAAAAAAAUAAAAAUCUCUGCUUAUCAGAUAACAUAUCUAAUAACUUCAUGGAUCAUUAAAAGUAUUGAGAGGCUUAUCUGCAAUAUGGGUUUUGAGGUUCUUUAACAUACUCUUUAUGGGGGAAAAAUGCAUCAUUUAUUCCCAGUGAAUUCAAAACCAUUUCUUCUUUGUAAUUCUAGAUCAGGUUUUACAUUUGGCUUUUGCUGAGAGGACUUAUUGUGCCUUGGGGGUGUGGGCAAUUUACAGAGGGCAAAUUUGCCUUUCUUCAUUCAAACUGUCCUUCCCAAUCCCUUUCCAGUUUGGGGGUGUUAUGGUGGUGAAGAUGGAAAAUGCAUCUCCACUUCUCCACUUCCCUAAGUCAGGAGCUGAAUACCCUUGUUCAUAUCUUCCAUCCACUUUUCUCCUAAAACCCAGACUCCC